UGCCAGGUCGUCUAAUGGUAGGACCUCGGACUCUGAAUCCGAGUAUCUUGGUUCGAAUCCAAGCCUGGCAG
rnacentral:tRNA from 1 species